UCGAAUAAACAUACAUCUCUGUAAAGUGCAAUAAAAUUAAUAAAUUAAACACUGUUUUGUUCAAUCAAAGUUCGGAAAACUUUGAAGUUAUUGGAGUGGGGGAAUCCAUUCAUAUUGUGUUACACACAAAAUGAGAGUGUAGAGCAAACAACAAA